GCGGGGAGGCGAGAGCUGAGGCAGGCUGGUGCAGGAAACCGCGAGGGAGGGACUGGAGGGAGAAGCCAGCUGACUGGAGGCAGAGUGACUGGGAAGAUAGUAACUGAAAUGAGAAGACAGAAAACAGAUUACAAAAGCACAGGCAGGAAACCACAAUAUUCAGGAGCUUGAGUCAUGUGUCACAGAGGAGACAGGAGCAACGAUCAGGCGAAGAUGGUGAGUCAAUCCGGGGUUUAUAUAUUGCGUUUGAUUGUAGUUGAUGACUGGCAGGUGUAUGUCGGGAGGAGUGGUAAUGAGGAGGCGAGCAGGUGUGGGCAAUCAGCUGGCUGGCACAGGCAGGAGGGGAGGGGGGGACACAGAGAGAGACAGAGCCAACACAAACUCCAACCGGACUCCAACCAUCACAAUGCUUUUACACAGCAGAUGGGGACAGCCGCCAUCACCCAAUUUACUUUUUCCCGGGCUGUGCAAAAGUGGCUGCGCUAUGCCAGAACGGGCAGGAGGGACUGGACCACAAACCAGUCAGCCGUCAGAGGACCAUGAACUGUAAAUAGGCUAAAGAGGACAAAUAAUGAAAGAAGGCUAAUACAAUUCAUUUGCUUUUACCUUAAA